UCACAGUCUGCGUUUAGAGUGGCAUAGCUAUCCGAUCCCCACAUGGAGGGGAUUGUCGUCGAGUACUCCGGAGUGUCGCGCGACUAGGACCACUUGGAGGUCCGGACCACAUGGAGGUCCGCAGACGGUCCCGGGCUUGGGUGCACGUGGAGCUCCCUCCCCACUUCGGGAUUUGAAGGUGAGUCAUGGGCGAGCCCUAGGGCCUCGCCACAGAUUGGGUAAAUGAAAAAAGGUUAAAGGUUUUUAAAUGUCAUUGAACAUUACUAUUCGAACAUGGAUCGAAUUUGUUAGCAUAGUAGCAAACCUUUAUUAUAUGAUGCAUGCAUUCAUAUUCAUGAUUAUGGGCAUAGUAGCAUAGUUUUUCCUACUAUCGCAUUUACAGCUUUCAGAUACAUAUCUAUCUAUCUAUCUAUCUGUUGUUACUUGUGCCCACUUGGACCUAGUGGGGAGAUCGGCAGAGUCGGCGGCCGAGCCCACUGGGAACUAUGGAAGAUAGUUCUCACCC
rnacentral:lncRNA from 1 species